GUGGGGAAUUUUGGACAAUGGGCGCAAGCCUGAUCCAGCCAUGCCGCGUGAGUGAAGAAGGCCUUCGGGUUGUAAAGCUCUUUCGGUGGGGACGAAAAGGUUCGUGCUAAUACCACGGACUAAUGACGGUACCCGAAGAAGAAGCACCGGCUAACUACGUGCCAGCAGCCGCGGUAAUACGUAGGGUGCAGGCGUUAAUCGGAAUUACUGGGCGUAAAGCGUGCGCAGGCGGUUUGUUAAGACAGAUGUGAAAUCCCCGGGCUUAACCUGGGAACUGCGUUUGUAACUGGCAAGCUAGAGUGUGGCAGAGGGGGGUGGAAUUCCAAGUGUAGCAGUGAAAUGCGUAGAUAUUUGGAGGAACACCAAUGGCGAAGGCAGCCCCCUGGGUUAACACUGACGCUCAUGCACGAAAGCGUGGGGAGCAAACAGGAUUAGAAACCCGUGUAGUCC
rnacentral:rRNA from 1 species